GUCUUGUUGUCGAAUGAAGCUUGGACUUGAUGAAUCCACAGAGAAGAUCUAAAGAGAGAGAUGCCAACCGUAAGAACCGCCAAAAGCAGUGGCUGAAUGGAGUUUUGCUUCUCACAAACCCACAAACACACGGACAAAAUUUUAGAAUUUGAAGAAAAGGGAAAAGGUGACCGACCGCCGAUUACGCAUCAAGAUUCGAUAUUGAUGAUAUUCUAGUGCUGGGCGCAGGCUAAAAAAUGGUGGGUUUCUCGUUUCUUGGAAAUUCAUGGACGAGAGAGAGAGAGAGAGAGGACUACACCUGUACAAGAAUCUCCAAUCAAGUGCGGAAGCUAUUCUUGGUCACGACAGAGACGACGAUUAAAGAAAGAGGAACAGUUCUUGGAACGGUCUUGGCACAGGUUGAAUGGAGUUAAGAGAAUACAGCCACGGACAGUGAUG
rnacentral:lncRNA from 1 species